CAGGAAUUUGGGUGAUAAGUACACCAUAGAAGACGGAACUGAAGAUGAUACCCUGGAUUUUAGGACUCCAGUUAUACACGGGGUUCUGAAAGAAACAAGGAGACACAUGGAGCCACUCUGCAUCCUGUCUUAUGUCAUCAUUUAUCAGAGGGACCCACUGCAACACUUCCUCCCGAGCGAAUGAUUUCUCACUACCGAGGAAAGUCCAUGGAAGCUUGCACCUCACCCGGGUCCCCGCACGGAGGCACUUAAUCUGAGACACAACCCACAGCAGAGGCUGCACGUCUUUCCUUCCUGUCUCACAAACCACCGCUCUGCAAGCCUGUCACCUGAGGCCUGCAACGGAAGCAGAGCACCCCCAACCACGUCGUGCUAAUAAUGUUUUA